GGGCGUUUGGCACAGUGGUAGCGCGCACGCUUUGCAUCACGAAUUGCGUGAGGUCCAGGGUUCAAGCCCCUGAACGUCCA